AAAGAGUCCAAAAUUAUGCGCCGCCUAACCCAAUGAAUUAGCUUUUUUCAUAUCUACAGCUGUUAAUGCUGCUACUUUGUGGGCAGUUGAUCGCCUCACAUCCCCGUUCCCUGUUUCCUCUUCCUCAGCUGACGAAGCUGUUGGCGUAAUUCGAGUCGCGGUUGGUUUAUCUAUGGGCAGUAGCCGACGUGACGUGACUUGACAGACGAAGAUUAGGGCUGGGCAGACCGAUGCUAUCUCCUCUGCUGGCCUUGCUGCUUACCUACCCCCCGGUUCGAUUGGGUACGCCGCCGCGGGCAGGCAUGUCCAAAAGAAAAGAAGAAGUGUCAAAGACAAAACGUGGCACGCUGCUGCUGCUGCUAUCCAAAUAACCUGUUUGCUUUGAGACACGACGCCAUGGCAGAAUGAACAGUCGUCCCUUCUGAGCCCACCGAUACAUCAUGAACAACAAGCACAGCCAGCUAUAAGGCACAACAAAGUAACCUAACAACAGAUUUGCAUAUCUGCGAAAGACCGACGGCUUCGACAGCGGGCAGAGCGUUGUCCAUUCAGAGAGCUCUGCAGAAGAAGCCCUGCACCGCAGCAUGAACUCAACUGCAUAAGUGGUCGCCAAGAGGAGCAGGCGUUGGUGGGGAAAUCUCUAUCCUACCGUUACCUCUACCGUCAGUGUUCCGUAGGACAACUCACGCCAGAGCCGCUUCAUAUUCAUGGCAUUGGCGUUCAUGGCAGUGUAGGAGGCUGCAUGCCAUGUUGAGGAUGGCAGACUUGUGAUUGGCAGGCAACGAGGGCAAUUGAGUACCAUAGCAUAGUCUUUCGUCUAUAGGAGAAAGACUCUGACUCUUCUUCCGAUAUGGUCUCUUGGUGAUGCAGCAGGCCCACAGUAACACAGGUUCAGUCAGACUAAGUGCCUAUAGGUGCAUCCCGGCUUAGCCAUCGUCCAUCUGUAUAUAUAUGUGUGAUUCGAACAGCGUCAGCCUGGUGGUAUCUUGCCUUGAAAAUGAAUUAAUAUAAAGAAGGUUAUCUGGCCAAAAAGGGCGCAGGGUGUGACCCCUUCCACCCCCGACCGCUAGUGAAGCUCUGGCUAAUCAUCAAUUAUCAAACCUAUCCGAGUCAUAUAUCGUUAUUUAUAGAAAAUCCGUUUCUAGCAACGUUUGCAUAGGCGAUAUUUACAGAAGUUGUCUAUGUUACGCACGAUCACUUUUUUGUACACAUAGAAAUUAUUAUACACAUAUAUAUAUGCAAGAGUGCGUCAUGUGUUUUUGUAAUAAUGACAGGCGCGUCAAUGCAUUAUAGUUUUGUUUAAAAUCUAUAACCCCUACUUACCAAAAGUAAAAUGUUAUUUUGGGCGGAUUUUUAAACUUUUAACCUAAAAAUAUAACAGCCGAAACUUCAGAAUGAGUAGCCAGGAAGAAUAGCUCUCUUUAAGAAAAAACGUUUUGUUGAGGUUAAAAGGGAAUCAGUUUAGUUCUCUGUAAGGACUUUUUAUUUCUACAUCUUCUGCACGGUUUAUAGUGUAGACAUAUAGGAACGUUAGGGGUAAUGCUGCUACGAGACAAAGAGUUAGAUGCGAUGUUCAUUAUAGUCCGUAGAAUCUAUUCGCGUUUGCAUCCAUUGCUUUAUCAUGACAGUUUAGGGAAACUGACCUUGAAGCCGAUGCAUGAUGGUACUGCAUGUAGGGAGUCACAUAAAUUGGCUGCGAGUACUUUCUUCUUCUUCUUCUUCUUCUUCCAGAGAAGAAAAAACAUUAGACAAAAGCGCUAAAGUAACGGUUAUCAAGAAGAAAAAAGAAAUGUAAUACAGAUGCAUAUGUUACGAAGAAGAAGGAUUAGGUUGAGCAGGAAUAAUUUCAGAUAUCGAAGAAUUAA